rnacentral:lncRNA from 1 species
UCUGUACAAAAGAGAGGAUGCAGCCCUUGAAUUUACACUCCAGUAUGGGAGGCCAGACCUCCCAGAAACAUUUUCAUUUACUAGUGGAUUUAAUGAGUGCAGAACUUCCUGUUUUAAACAAACAAGUGAUUAGCAUUGACUACCAACGUGAAAAUGUAUCCUAAUGAAUUGCUAAUUGGCCUCCUCCUCUUCCUGGGGUCUUUAGCUGGGAAAUUCCCUCUCUGGCUACUGGGAGUCUUAGUCAAUCUGACUGGAAUUCAUUCACUCAUUCAUUCACCUUUUUAUUCAUUCACUCAACAGACAUUUCUUGAGGACCUACUGUGUGUCACUGUGAAUAAGACAAGCAAGAUCCCUUCCCCACAGUCUGAUGGGGAAAACAGCAUUAAUCAACUAACUUUACAAUCCUCACAAAAUGACACACUUAUAGGAUAAGGAGCUGGGACAGUGUGCAACAGGAGGACUUGUCUUUGUUCUGGGGUUGGAGUAGGGUGUCCUUCAGAGAAUGCUACCUAAAGGAAGGGACAUUUGAGCCAAGAUCUGAAGAAUAAGUAGAACUUCACUAGAAGAAAGGGGAUGGGAAAGAGUAGAAGAGUGUUUUAGACAUCUAGAACAGCAUAUGAAAAGGUCCUGUGGUGAGAGGGAGGAGGGUGAGUCUGAGGAAAAGGAAGAGGCCAGUGUGAGAGGUAUGCAAGGAGCGUGUGGUGUGUGUGUGAGAGAGAGAGAGAUGAGGCUCGGGCUUAGGCUGUUUUGUCUUCCUCCUUUGUAGUGCUGAGAGCCCAGCCCGUAUCCUCAGGUCUUACCACUUCAGUGUGUUCAAGCCAACUUCCAGCGGCCCCAGUUUGCAUCUCUUUGCCUGAGGACUUUCCCCAGAUUAGCCCUGAGCUAACUGCUGCCAAUCCUCCUCUUUUUGCUAAGACUGGCCCUGAGCUCACAUCCAUGCCCAUCUUCCUCUACUUUCUAUGUGGGAUGCCUACCACAGCAUGGCUUCCCAAGCGGUGCCAUGUCCACACCCGGGAUCCGAAAUGGCGAACCCCAGGCUGCUGAAGCGGAACAUGCACACUUAACCAUUGCGCCACCGGGCUGGCCCUGAAAGUAUUCUUUUCUUGAUUGUAAUGGUGAUUAUAUGACCAUAUGUAUUUAUCAAAACUCAUUGAAUUAUACACUUUAAAUUGGUGUUUUUAUUGUAUUUAAAUCAUAC